UCAUGUCGCGUGAUGCCAAUGACGUGUAAUAGUACAAAAGAAAUUUUCUAUUAUCAUUCUAUCGGAUAAAUUUAGCCGAAUCUGAAGACUGAGACGUGACCAGUCAUGGUAUUCAAUGAAGUGCCAUUCCCUAAUAGAUUUUGUCCAGUGUGAUAUAUGCUUAAGCUAUACGGUGUGGUAUUUGUAUUGCAACGAACAAGGAAAAAUUUUAAUCGCUAAAAUGAACUUUUGCGGAAAAGAGAAGAAAAAGAUUAGAAAAAUAUUACGUGACUGCGACCUCACUGAUGACGAUCAAAAUCUUGUUUCGGAAGAAUCCGAUGUUGAAGCGGACUCUUUUAGCGCCGAUAGUGAGGCAACUCAACGCCGGAAGAAGAAACGUUUGAUAGUGUCAUCUGAGGAGACACUAGAAAAUAUCGAUGAUCCUGCCGAUGACGAUGGUGCAAGUUGUUCACCAACAACGAAAGAUAAUGAGAGGAUUAUCGACGAUGACGAUAUGUGGUAUGAUAAUAAAAAGAAAUUGAUUGAAUUUGCAUUUAACGAUGGUAAAUGCGGCAUUAAAAUGAAUGCUGAUAAGUAUUCUAGUGCGAAAAACAUUUUUGAUCAGCUGUUCUCAAGAAAUGUAGUUGAGACACUCGUUAGUUGCACAAAUGAAUAUGGAAAGUAUUUAUUUGAAACCAAGCAUUCUAGUAAUUUUGUUUUACGAUUGAUGCAACCAUGUUUGGGUAAAGGACAUCAUCUCUUUAUGGACAAUUUUUACAACAGUAUCGAGCUGUCAAGAGCUGCUAACAUAUAAAACACACACGACCGGAACGCAUUAUUCUAACAGAAAAGGUAAUCCGAAAGAAGUGAGAUCAAAAAAGUUAAAAAAGGGCAAACAUCGAAAUGGCGGGAUAAACGGAAUCUUUUUUUUUAUAACAACAAAUCAUCAUCCCGAAAUGGUGGAAGUUACCAACAAAUUUGGACAAAAAAGAAUAAAUCAAAUGAUAUAGCUGAAUAUAAUUUGAAUGUCAGGAGUUGACAGAUGUGAUUUCGAUCUUAUCGAAAAUCGAUAAGAUGGUAUAAAAAACUUAUUUUUCAUCUUUUAGACCUUUGCAUUUGGAAUUCCUACUUCAUCUAUCAACAGUUUCAUAAAUCAACGACAUUCCUACAAUUUAGAGAUUUGCUGAUGCAAUCAUUGAUCACAUUCCCUAAUACUGAGAUUUCUGGAAAGAAUUUAGCGGCAUUAACAUCUAGGCGUGCUCGACCGAAACAAAUAAAUUCAUUAUCAUUGACAUCCACAGGUUCUACACAACAACAUUUCUUGGAAAAGAUCCCCCAAUCUAUUAAUUUUCAGCAUAAAACUUAUUUUCUACAUUGCAGACAAUGUUUGGCUAACAAAAUUAGAAAAGAGACUUCAUAUAGAUGUAAAACUUGUCCGCAAAACCCACCAUUGUGUCCAAAAUGCUUCGAAUUCUUUCAUUUACAGUAAAGCUGAUUCCUUUAUAAUGCUUUUUCUUAAACCAUUUUUGAAUUAGUAAAGCAAAUUUAAUAUAGUCGUCACGACGGUCAUAGCCGCCAUUUGCUUUGGGAAGAGAAAAACAUGUCGUAAUAAGCAAAUGACAGUUACAGCCGGCGAGAGUUUUCAAGGAAAAACUGUGAUAAAAUGUGAUAAUUUUCGCUUCCAAACAUACGAAUGACGCUCAAUUUUAUAUGGCAGUCAUGAACAAUUGAAAAAAAAAAGUGUUUCUGAGUACGAUUGUCAAAUUAAAAGUGUGCGGCAACGUGUUAAUUAUUAAUGAUCGACAUUCAUAAGCCAAGUUCUGUGUGUGUUCUUAAAAAAGUUAUUUAAAAUAAUGAUUCGAAGAAUUUCUCUAAUAUAUUUCUGUCGAGAUCAUUAGAUAAAAGUAGUUUUUUCAUUGUUAAAAACAAUAAAAAGUUUUAAAUUGGAAUAAUUAAAUCCUUAUUUGCUCAAAAACUUCAUGUUGAGGAAUGUUUUUUGUAUAAAAAGUUACCAAAGUCUUCCAUCUACAUAUUCCGACAUUAACUACGUUAGUGCACCUCGAACGACGUGCUCAGAACGAACGUGGGAUGAGAACUGGUGCAACAACGUGGUGACCGUCAACUGGCUUUAAAUUGUAAUGCUAUUUUAUUGUAUAGAAAAUAUUAUAAGAAAUAAUAUUUAGGAUAUAAAAAAUAUCGAUUAAUUCUUUGUUUAGGUUCGAAAUUUAAUGUGAAAUAAUAAUAUAUAUAGUCAGAUCAUUAAUAAUCUGAUUUUAAUGAAUUUGUAGCGUCGUAGCAUAUUAACUUGCUUCUUUAACUUUUUUAUGUGUCAUCUUGCAUAUCAAGGUACGACCAAUCCUUGAAAGUCUGAUUAAGCCAUUUUUUCUAUCAUUACGAUCCAUUCGCCUUUAUUAAGCGCGAAUUACUGCAAGCUUUCUUUAAUUCCAAUAGCUAGGUUAAGAAGCGUGUACAAAAAGGAGAGAGACAGAGGCGCGCCUCUGUUUACUGCUAUUGUUUACUGUUCUUCUUUGUGGUUAUGUAAUAAGAAAGUCCGUUAAGCAAAAUUCGGAAGCUGGAGGGAAUUUGUAACGCAUGAUAAUUCGAAGCACUAGAGCUAUCGUAUAUAAGCAUCAGUCCAACAAACUUCGAGUUGAAAAGGUUAUCAGUAUCCUCAGGCGGAACGGUAUUAGUUUGACGAGUAUGAAAGAAACUGCCAGCGUAUUCCUUGACACGCACGCGAAUCGGAGGAUGUCCCAGAGCAAUGAUUAAUAAAAGGUAGCUCGCGUAUCGCUUCCAAAACGGUGAAUGCCCCCUUUCAUGAAGGAUGAGGUAGUACAAAUAAUUAAAUCGCUCAAGAACGAUAAAGUUCCAGUGUCGGAUUUAAUAUAGAAAUAUGUAUGCGAAAGAGACUUCACUGCUAUCCCGAGUCACUUCGUAGAAUUGUUUAACGAAUACCUUCGAUGGAGUAUCUAUGUUUCCCUUUAUCUGGGCAAAGAGUUCCUUAAGAGUACUCCUGAAGGGAGAUGAUAAAGACGUGAAAGAUCCAAAAUCAUAUCAUCCGAUAUGUCUACUUCAUCCAUUUUACAUUAUCUAUAGUAAAUAUAAAAAGUAUUCGUACAACAAUGAAUUUUAACAAAAACUUUGUAAAACUUUGUUUAUUACAAAAAAUGUUAUAUAUAUAUAUAUUUUCAGAAAUCUCUAAAACGAAUGUUAUUAAAAAAUAAUUAUUUAUUUAUAUUUGUUAUGAAAAUAUAAACAAAUUUUUUAAAAUUAGCAGAAAAUGUAUGCAUAAUAAGUAUUCGUACAUUUUUAUGUUUACAACAUACAUAAUACAUAAUACAUAAAUGUAAUAAAAAAGCAAUUUAUUUGCAAUUUUAGUAUCUAGUGGGAUUCCCUUUAGAUUGUAUAAGUCUUUAUGGCAUCGAAUUUACUAAAUUUCCUGUUUUAGUAUUAGAAAUUUUAUUCCACUCUUCUAAGAGCGCAUUUUUUAAAAUCUUUUUUCGAAGAAAUGAUCACGAAUUUUUUCUUCGAAAUAACCUAAUAAGUGUUUUAUAACGUUCAAAUCUGAAGGCUAUGGAGGGAUUUUUAAUUGAUUUGGUACAUUAUAUAGGAUCCAUUAUCGUCGAUCAUUAUUUUGUAAAAACUCAUAAUUGUCCUGUAAUUCAAUCUUAUUCGCACUGACUUGGAUGUGUUAAAAUAUUAAUAUACAAUUUAUGAUCCAUGAUACCAUCAUCUUCAUAAAAUGGAGAGAUCCAACCGCAUUUGCAUUUAUGCUGCACUAAACUGUGAUCGAGCCUUCUCCAUGCUUUACGGACGCCUGCAAAUUGUUUUUCCCAUAUUCGCUAUUUUUUUCUCUAUACAGUACAUCGUCCAUCCGAACUAAAUAAGUUAAAUUUACUUUCAUUAGUAAAUAUAACACAAUUCCAGUACUCCAUAGGAACAUUGACAUAUUUUUUCGCAAAUUCUAAUUGUUUUUUUCUAUUAACUUCAUUUACAAAACUUUUUUCACGGGCUACUCUAUAUAUUUUCUAUGGUAUACUGCAGCUCGUAAAAAAUUAUGCACUGUACUAUUGCACACAUUAAUAUUAAGAUUAUUUUUAAGUUUAGCAAUGAUGUUUCCUGUACUUAUCUUCGGAUUUUGUUCUAUUUUUCGAAUUAUCCAUCGACUAGUGUCCUCAUUUAUUUUACAUUUACAUUUGUUUCAUGGAUUAUUUUUUAAAGUUUUUCGGUCCCCAUAUCUGAAUCGUGGACCAUGGUUUAUUUUCAAUUUUAGAAAUUUCAUUCAAUGUUUUGGAUUUAUUAUGUAAACUUAUAAUAAUUUUUCUUUUUUCUUCAGUGAUUUCCUUCCUUGCCUUUUUGUCCCAUUUUAUAAUUAUCACUGUCGACUAUAUGAAUUUAGAACACUAUCUGUAUUGACAACAUAUCUAAAUAUACUGAUCCUAAAUAUAUUGAUAAAAGAUGUAUUAUCUUAUCUUGUAUAAUGUUACCAAUAAAGAACUAUAUGAAUACUUAUUAUACGUAUAU